GGCCCCUUUAUGAGAGGUAAUUUACUGAAAUGCACAGCGAUUACCUGCUCACCCAGCCCUGAUGUAAUUAAAAAUGGCAGGCUAGGGGCUCUGUUUCCCCCGGCUCUGGCAGAGAAACCUGGGUUUCGACUUGUGAAGCUUGAGGUUGGAUGUGGGAAUUGGCUUGGAGUCAUAGGCGAUGAGAGGGACAUUAGGAUAUUAUGAAGCCCGUGAACUCAACUCCUGAGAAGGACGCAGCAGAGCGAGAGAAAAGAUGGAAUAAAAAGGCCUACCUCAUUGGGCUCGUGUGGGUGAGGAGAACUGAAGAGUCUGAGAGCGCGGCACGAGCCAGAGGCUACGGAAAACACUGCCCUCCUACACUCCACCUUGGAGAGACCCAGAAAAGAACAAGCUUCAUUUGUAAAAAAGGAAAACAACUCAGGCAAUGGGGGUGGCUUAAAUAUUGUGAAACCAGCAACUUGUUCACAAUUCUUCUGAAUUUCUUGGGAAAUUUGAAGUGGAGUACCUGUACCAACAUGAAAUGACACGAAUUUAAGUGACGCUCAACAACGAAAAGCAAAAAGAACCAAAGAGGAAGCAACUGAAACAACAUCUGGAUGUAUUUAAAAAUAUACAAUGCCUCCAAAAUCAGGUGUCAUUAAUGAAAAUUCUGAAGAAAUGCCACCGGACAUAGCCAACGCACCUACGCUGUUGUUAUUCAUUUCCUGCUUUUCACAGAAAACAAUUUUGUUGCAUGGAAGAUCGUGAACUUCAAAGGGCAGAGGGGAAACUGUCCCUUGGCCUCUACCCCUCCAAGGCCCCACUUUUUUGUCAACACUCCUUGGACGCAGCAGAAGUAUGAACAUAAUAUGGUCCUGAAUGAGGCUGAGUCUUUGGGCGCAGAAGACCCGGGUUAAUAAAAAUAGGAAGGUAAGAAAAGAAAAGAAAAAUCAAGACACAUCAUAGGACUAAAUUCCUAUUAUUUAUCCACUCAGGAUUGACCACCCCUUUGGGCCAGAUAGUUGUACCCCCAUGUACCAGGUGGGCACAUGAAGACACAAGAAGUGCUGUGAUGGUUCAUUUUGCACGUCACCUUGCGUGGAGUAUGCCAACUCAUUGUUUGGUCAAACACUAGUCUGGACAUGGUGGUAAAGGUAUUUUUUAGAUGAGAUUAACACUUAAAUCAGUAAAGCAGGUUACCCACCAUACUACGGGUGGGCCCUGUCCAAUCAGUUGAAGGCAUUAAGAACAAAGAUUGAGGUUUCCUAAAGAAGAUGGAAUUCUCCUUGAGACUACAACAUAGAAACCCUAUCUGAGUUUCCAGCCUGUUGCCCUGUGGAAUUCAAACUCAGGACUCCGGUCUAUGACAUUAACCCUCACUUAACUUUUCAGCCUGCCAGCCUGCCCUAUGGAUUUCGGACUUGCCAGCCACACAAUUCCUUAAAAUAAAUCUCUCCGUCUCUGUCUGUUUC
ensembl:lncRNA DRAIC downregulated RNA in cancer, inhibitor of cell invasion and migration